GGGAUGUCUUCCCAUCUUCCCAGUAACAGCAUUUCAUACAGAAAAAAAUGCUUUGCAGGAGGAGUACUGACAGCAAUGAGUGGUUUACACUUGUAACAGUUCCUACACCUCUGUUAUCAAUCAUAGGAGACUGAUAGGACUUCACCUAUUUAGCAAUUUUAUAGCCUGUCUUGAUAAGUUCUAUAGGUAUAGUAGAUAGGAUCUAUUAUUUUUAGGGGGGCAAUUGCCCACGCAUAUCCUGUUAAUGGGACCAGCCAGAUUUAAUUUUAGAUAUUUUUCCCACCGAUGUCAAGG